AACGUAGGUUCCGAGCGUUAUCCGGAUUUACUGGGCGUAAAGCGCGUUCAGGCGGUUUGGCAAGUCGGGCAUGAAAUCUCUCGGCUCAACCGGGAGAGGUUGUCCGAUACUUCCAGACUUGAGGGCAGUAGAGGGUGGUGGAAUUCCGGGUGUAGUGGUGAAAUGCGUAGAUAUCCGGAGGAACACCAGUGGCGAAAGCGGCCACCUGGACUGCACCUGACGCUGAGGCGCGAAAGCGUGGGGAGCAAACAGG
rnacentral:rRNA from 1 species